UUUUUUUCAGGCUCGAUGCAGUAGCCAUGAAGUUGCUGAAGCAGCAGCAGUGGCUGCCCAGUCCAGAUGUGGCACUGAGAGCACUCCCCUGCAGGUACUGUAGAGGCCCUAAUUUUUUGGAAUAUCUGCUGAUAGCAUCAGGAUCUGCAGUGGCUGCACAACUGGAAAGCGUUCAUGGUAUGGAGAAAGACACGAGACAAAUAUCCAGGUCUCCUGGAAUAUGUAUGGACUAUGGCAUGACUUGCUGGAUAAAUCAUCUUCCACUGAUACAACUGGAAAUCUCAGUCUGCCCAUCAGCAAUUAUACCAUAACACAAGCUGCAGUGACCUGGGUACCAAG